GCCCACCUUGGAGUGUGUGUAGCACCCUCUGCACAGCAGCGGGAGCACAUCUGGAGACACCAGUCCGGUCCAGCACUUGGUUAUGGUGCGGGUUAAGGUGGAGCAACCCCAGGGACGGCGGAACGCUCUUCCGGGUGUGUCUGGCCACCGUGAACGAAGCAGCUUUGCUCCACCGUGCUCUUCUGCCGUGAUGUCUCCGCCUUGGAGCCAGGUGACCACUGACAGACUCCCCUGAGGCUGUGAGCCAAAGUAAACCUCUCCCCCUGGA